GCUGAAUCUGUUGUGUCAGUUGUAACCAGGGGUUAAAGUGGGGAGGAACGGGGAGGAACGCAGUUCUGCCACCUCAGAUAAAUUAAUAAUAAAUAUAUUCUUUCAUACCAACAAUAUAGC